CGUGUCCCUUUCAGAUCACUAGAAGAUUUCCUUCUGGACCGAGUAGCGACUAAAGACUACAGAACCACAACCUCUCUUCCCCAAUCCCCAGCAGUAUUUUUAAAAUGAAGAUCCAAGCUUUCGUGCUCGUCGCCGCUUUGUUGUUCUUUUCCGCUCUUAUUCAGGAUUGUGAAGGAAUAGGGAUAUUUCCACCUGGGAAAGGAAAACGAGCGGUCCAAAGAAAAGUUCAAGUGACAGCACGGAGUAUUUGUGAGGCAGCUAGAAGCUUGAACUGCGAUGGGAUGGAUCUUGACGGCUGACUCAAGAAGAAAUCUCUCUCAAGUCGCGAAAUAUUCCACUAAUAUAAGUAAAAGACGUGAACCUGACUCAGCAACAGAACACGUAUGUUAAAAAGGAAAGUAAAUUCAUGGAAUAAGGGAGCGGCAAAUAUAUAUAUAUAUAAAAAACAUUUAUUCAGAGACUUGUGUUUGGUUCAUAUCAUUGACUUGACACUAGCGCCAUAAGAGUUCAAUGAAAAUAAGAAUUCCACCUUUAUUUGCCUUUCAACUAAAGCCCCUUACGAUUUAAAUAAGUUUUGACGAUGAAGUGAAAUAAGAACCUUUAACCAUAGCUCCCUAAUUUAAUGGAACCAGAGACUUGCUAUUCGUGAGACUUAAACCAAUUUUUUUUUCAUAGAAAUCCGAGACCAACACAACUGAGAAAAUUCAUUAAACGAUCAUUGGAAAGUA